UUACUGAGUGAGGGCCCUCUGGGUCCAACCUCCCACCCGUGUUUAUUGUACCUUGUUGCUUCGGUGCGCCCGCCUCACGGCCGCCGGGGGGCUUCUGCCCCCGGGUCCGCGCGCACCGGAGACACUAUUGAACUCUGUCUGAAGAUUGCAGUCUGAGCAUAAACUAAAUAAGUUAAAACUUUCAACAACGGAUCUCUUGGUUCCGGCAUCGAUGAAGAACGCAGCGAAAUGCGAUAACUAAUGUGAAUUGCAGAAUUCAGUGAAUCAUCGAGUCUUUGAACGCACAUUGCGCCCCCUGGUAUUCCGGGGGGCAUGCCUGUCCGAGCGUCAUUGCUGCCCUCAAGCACGGCUUGUGUGUUGGGCUCCGUCCCCCCGGGGACGGGUCCGAAAGGCAGCGGCGGCACCGAGUCCGGUCCUCGAGCGUAUGGGGCUUUGUCACCCGCUCUGUAGGCCCGGCCGGCGCCAGCCGACAACCAAUCAUCCUUUUUUCAGGUUGACCUCGGAUCACGUAGGGAUACCCGCUGAACUUAAGCAUAUCAAUAAGCGGAGGAAAAGAAACCAAC
rnacentral:rRNA from 1 species